GUGUUUGUAUUUUUCUAACAGAUUCUUGCCCUUCAUCAUCUGAAAAACAGACUGAGAUGGAGACAAUCAUUUUCUCAAGGCACGGAAGCACAGCAUGGAUCAACUCAAUAUCCUGAUGGCCCCCGUCUACUCAAUGUGGACAAUUUCAACAGAAGGUCAUCUUUUUUUUUAUUUUAUUCCAGAGACAAUUUGGUGACCUCCCUGUGGAGCCUCAGCAGGAUCAGAGGAGACAAACGGCUACAAAACUGCCAUGUUGACAUUGCGUUCAGUUCUGGACUUCUCAAGAUUGCUCCUCAAGGUCAAAUGUGACAGCAGUUUGAACUGACUGGAGUCGAGUCGUGGAAAAGCUACAUGACAGCAGUUUGCCUCCAGUGUUAUUAAGCCCAUUGAAAAUGAUUUAGGAUAUGAAAGGAAUCGUUUUGUGUCUGGAAAUGUACAUUAAAUGGUGUCAACAACAUCCCUGAGGUCAGCAUAGAGUCCCCACGGAGACUGAAUCUGGCUUCUGCGUUUGAGGAAGGAACACCCUGCUCCCCCUCCACCCACCCCGAGCGGGGGCUCGGCGACGGCUCUCAGUUUCUCUCGUCAUGUCCCUGGCAGCUUUGACACAGGGAGCAAAACAAGGACUCUGAGCUGCCACCGGCCACUGCGCUCAUCCAGGGGCUUUCAGCCUUCAAGAGGACUAGAGUCCGCCUUUAAGGUGAGCUCAAUU